GCGCGUUCCCCUCUGGAGGUUUUACCUUCAUACUUGGCCGGACCUUUGGUCCGGCCUUUUUCUUGCGCGCG
rnacentral:sRNA from 1 species